CCCUUAGAUGUUCUGGGCAGCACGCGCGCUACAAUGGUCUUCGCAAACGGAUGCAUUCUCGAAGGAGAAUGCCAAUCUUGGAAUCUAUGCCUUGGUCGGGACAGUUGCUUGCAAUUUUUCGACUCGAACCAGGAAUUCCUUGUAAUCGUGAUUCAUCACAUCACUAUGAAUACGUCCCUGCCCUUUGUACACACCGCCCGUCGCUCCUACCGAUCGAAGAGUUAGGUGAAUUGUUUUGAUCGAUAAGAUUUGACUAUGGUCAACUCUCGUUGUGAAAUUCUGUGAAUCUGACUGUUUAGAGGAAGGAAAAGUCGUAACA
rnacentral:rRNA from 1 species